rnacentral:RNase_P_RNA from 1 species
GGAGCAGCACAGACGAUCGCUGGAUAUUUCUAUGAUUCAGAGGAAAGUCCGAACACCGCAGGGCAGGGUGCUCCAUAACGUGGAGUCGCGGUAACGCGAAGGAAAGUGCAACAGAGAGCAGACCGCCCCGCGAGCAUGCGGGGUAAGGGUGAAACGGUGCGGUAAGAGCGCACCAGUUCUCCGGG